rnacentral:rRNA from 1 species
UUAGGUUAAGUUAUUAAGGGCGUAUGGUGGAUGCCUUGGCACUAGGAGCCGAUGAAGGACGUGACUAACUGCGAUAUGCUUCGGGGAGUUGUAAGUAAACUAUGAUCCGGAGAUUUCCGAAUGGGGAAACCUAACAGGUUUUACCGCCUGUUAUCACUAAGUGAAUUCAUAGCUUAGUUGAAGGUAGACGUGGGGAACUGAAACAUCUAAGUACCCACAGGAAGAGAAAGAAAUUCGAUUCCCUCAGUAGCGGCGAGCGAACCGGGAAGAGCCCAAACUAAGAAGCUUGCUUCUUAGGGUUGUAGGACUGAACAUUUGAGUUACCAAGAAACGAAGUAGUUGAAUAAUCUGGGAAGAUUAGCCAAAGAGAGUGAUAGCCUCGUAAGCGAAACUUCGUUUCCUCAGUUCAGGAUCCUGAGUACGGCGGAACACGUGAAACUCCGUCGGAAUCCGGGAGGACCAUCUCCCAAGGCUAAAUACUACCUAGUGACCGAUAGUGAACCAGUACCGUGAGGGAAAGGUGAAAAGCACCCCGGGAGGGGAGUGAAAUAGUUCCUGAAACCAUAUGCCUACAAGUAGUCAGAGCUCGUUAAUGAGUGAUGGCGUGCCUUUUGUAGAAUGAACCGGCGAGUUACGUUAGCGUGCGAGGUUAAGGAGGAAAGUCCGGAGCCGUAGCGAAAGCGAGUCUGAAUAGGGCGAGAUAGUACGUUGACGUAGACCCGAAACCAGGUGACCUACCCAUGCCCAGGUUGAAGGUGCGGUAAAACGCACUGGAGGACCGAACCCGUGUAUGUUGAAAAAUGCUGGGAUGAGGUGUGGGUAGAGGUGAAAUUCCAAACGAACUUGGAGAUAGCUGGUUCUCUCCGAAAUAGCUUUAGGGCUAGCCUCGGAGUUAAGAAUCGUGGAGGUAGAGCACUGUUUGGACUAGGGGCCCGUCUUGGGUUACUGAAUUCAGAUAAACUCCGAAUGCCACAGAUUUAUAUCCGGGAGUCAGACUGCGAGUGAUAAGAUCCGUAGUCGAAAGGGAAACAGCCCAGACCACCGAUUAAGGUCCCAAAAUAUGUGUUAAGUGGAAAAGGAUGUGGAAUUGCAUAGACAACUAGGAUGUUGGCUUAGAAGCAGCCACCAUUUAAAGAGUGCGUAAUAGCUCACUAGUCGAGUGAUCCUGCGCCGAAAAUGUAACGGGGCUAAACACAUUACCGAAAUCGUGGAUGUACCGUAAGGUACAUGGUAGGAGAGCGUUCUAAGGACGGCGAAGCUAGACCGUAAGGACUGGUGGAGUGCUUAGAAGUGAGAAUGCCGGUAUGAGUAGCGAAAGAUCAGUGAGAAUCUGGUCCACCGUAUGACUAAGGUUUCCUGGGGAAGGCUCGUCCUCCCAGGGUUAGUCGGGACCUAAGCCGAGGCCGAGAGGCGUAGGCGAUGGAUAACAGGUUGAGAUUCCUGUACUGGUUAAACUUGUUUGAACAAUGGAGGGACGCAGGAGGCUAUCGAUGCGUACUGUUGGAUAUGUACGUUCAAGCAACAAGUCUGUAGAUGAGUCAAAUGCUUAUCUACUUAAGGACAAGUUGUGAUGAGGAGCGAAAUUUAGUAGCGAAGUGAGAGACGUCACACUGCCAAGAAAAGCUUCUAGUUAGAGUUUAAUCACCCGUACCGCAAACCGACACAGGUAGUCGAGGCGAGUAGCCUAAGGUGAGCGAGAGAACUCUCGUUAAGGAACUCGGCAAAAUGACCCCGUAACUUCGGGAGAAGGGGUGCUGAGCGCAAGCUCAGCCGCAGUGAAUAGGCCCAGGCGACUGUUUAUCAAAAACACAGGUUUCUGCAAAAUCGUAAGAUGAAGUAUAGGGGCUGACGCCUGCCCGGUGCUGGAAGGUUAAGAGGAUGGGUUAGCGUAAGCGAAGCUCAGAAUUGAAGCCCCAGUAAACGGCGGCCGUAACUAUAACGGUCCUAAGGUAGCGAAAUUCCUUGUCGGGUAAGUUCCGACCCGCACGAAAGGCGUAACGAUCUGGGCACUGUCUCAACGAGAGACUCGGUGAAAUUAUAAUACCCGUGAAGAUGCGGGUUACCCGCGACAGGACGGAAAGACCCCAUGGAGCUUUACUGUAGCUUGAUAUUGGG